AUUGAACGCUGGCGGCAGGCCUAACACAUGCAAGUCGAGCGGAUGAAGGGAGCUUGCUCCUGGAUUCAGCGGCGGACGGGUGAGUAAUGCCUAGGAAUCUGCCUGGUAGUGGGGGAUAACGUCCGCAAACGGGCGCUAAUACCGCAUACGUCCUGAGGGAGAAAGUGGGGGAUCUUCGGACCUCACGCUCUCAGAUGAGCCUAGGUCGGAUUAGAUAGUUGGUGGGGUAAAGGCCUACCAAGGCGACGAUCCGUAACUGGUCUGAGAGGAUGAUCAGUCACACUGGAACUGAGACACGGUCCAGACUACUAAGGGAGGCAGCAGUGGGGAAUAUUGGACAAUGGGCGAAAGCCUGAUCCAGCCAUGCCGCGUGUGUGAAGAAGGUCUUCGGAUUGUAAAGCACUUUAAGUUGGGAGGAAGGGCAGUAAGUUAAUACCUUGCUGUUUUGACGUUACCAACAGAAUAAGCACCGGCUAACUUCGUG
rnacentral:rRNA from 1 species